rnacentral:lncRNA from 1 species
UCACCCCUCACCCCUCACCCCUCACCCCACAAUGCCUCCUCCCCUCUCUUCUCCUGUUCCUUCUCCUUCUCUCCCCUGCUUUCUCUCCCUUCUUUCUCUCUUCUUCUCCCUCGUUUCCUCCUCUCCAAACUCCCCCAUCACUCUCCCUCUCUCUGCUUCCAAGCCAUCCCCACCUCCUGAUCCCUAUCGGAACCUCCGACACUUGGUCUCUGCCUCCUUAAUCAGGGCUCGCCACCUCAAGAACCCCAAAACCACACCCACCUCCACAACCCCACUCUUCACUCACAGCUAUGGUGCAUACUCCAUUCCUCUCUCCUUCGGUACUCCACCUCAGACCCUUCCACUUAUCAUGGACACUGGAAGUGAUCUCGUCUGGUUCCCUUGUACCCAUCGCUAUGUC